rnacentral:rRNA from 1 species
UACGUAGAAGACUAGUGUUAUUCAUCUUUAAUAGGUUUAAAGGGUACCUAGACGGUAUAAUUAGUCUUUAACAGGAAACGGUUAUACUAGAGUUAUAUAUGAGGAGGUGAGUAUUUGUGGAGUAGAGUUGAAAUUCUUUGAUACCAUGAAGACUGGUAAAGGCGAAAGCAACCUUUUAUCUAAUAACUGACGCUGAGACGCGAAAGCGUGGGGAGCAAACAGG